rnacentral:misc_RNA from 1 species
AGGUCGUAUGCGCCGCCGAGCUCGAUCGCUCCCGACGCGAGGCGACUCCUGAAGCUGAACCCUCGUCCACACGCGUGACUGACGUGAGUCGAUGACUUUGCUACUUUCUUAGGUGAGAAUAUAACCAAAUCUAGCGAAGGACAGACGCAGUUGGUUCGUCUGCACCGAUCUCAAAAAACAUUCUGCUGAUGCACUUAGUUUGUAAUAAAUGAAGGUAAAUUUUAAACUAAGCAAUAAUUGCAGAAUAAGUUUGUGGGUUUAAGUUAUGUUAUUCGUAUUGUCGCGAGAGCUUAGUUUAAUAAAUAUGUGAAGUUUUGUGAGUGUAA